AGUAGUCACUAACUCGCUAGUCUGUAAGUAGUCUGUGGCCGGACGCACGUGUCUAUCAACAAUGAGAUUUCUUUGUCUAUUAAUUUUACUAUGCACUGUGUCAUUGACCUUAGCUGCACCACAAUCAAAACUGCAAUUCGGUGACAAUGAAAAUAAACCAGUGAUUGAAGAGGUAGUGGUGGAAUCUGUUCUUCACAUCAAGUCUCCGUCGUCAAGACAAGCCCGAACUAACACGAAGACAAACUUACAAGAUGGCUCACGGAUAUCAGAAGCACACUAGUUAUAUAAUAUUAUAAUAUCCAUGCUAUUGUUAUAAUAAUAUUAAUAUUUUCUUAUUCCAAUAAAACAAUUAUAACUUU